GGUGGCUUAACCGAGGAGAAGAAAGAAAAGUGACAACCUCUGAAAGUUAUGUCAAUAGAUUAAGCUUUCGAGAUUCAAUCUACAAACGAUACAGUCGCUUUCGACGAACAAAUUCAGCCUAGUUCGAGAGAGCCAGCUAGAAAGGGUGAAUUCUCAGUCACAAUUCAAGGAGAGACGUCGUUCGCACAUGUUCUGAUGUUUAUUAAAAAA